GUCCAGUUGAUAAGUCCUAAAUAGAACGAAACGUGCGUCCUGGAU
rfam:Schistosoma mansoni strain Puerto Rico chromosome 4, complete genome